rnacentral:rRNA from 1 species
AUGCUCCUGAAUGAUGUCCACCUUCAUGAACAAACUGAAGAUACCAUCAUAUGGAAGCACGCAAACGACGGGAUAUACACGGCGGCCACUGCGUACAAAGCUCAAUUCCUAGGCUUGACUCUUUCCCCCUUGGACCGUAUGGUUUGGAAGGCAUGGGCACCUCCAAAGGUUAAAUUUUUUGCGUGGUUGGCAAUACAAGAUAGGAUUUGGACAGCCGAUCGUUUACAGCGACGAGGUUGGCCAAAUUGUGGCCUCUGCAAACUUUGCAAUAGGGAGUAAGAAACGAGUGCCCACAUUUUCUUCAAGUGCCGUUUUACAAUUCGGAUAUGGAAGUCUCUCAUUGAGAUGCUUGGUCUCGCGCACAUAGAUACAUCCGAGUGGCACACGGAUGAAUCCGUCUACGAAUGGUGGGACAAGAGAACCGACAAUCGCAACCCCAACCGACAAGCUUUGGCCUCUCUCAUCAUGCUUGUCUCUUGAACCAUUUGGAAUGAAAGAAAUGCAUCGGUGUUUCGUCAUAAGAGUGUGCCAACGACAAUUCUUCUCACUGCCAUUGUCCACGAGGCCAAGCUUUGGAUGACCGCGGGCGCAAAGAAAUUAGAAGAUAUUUUUAUGGACGAGUAA